rnacentral:rRNA from 1 species
AGUGAACGCUGGCGGUAGGCCUAACACAUGCAAGUCGAACGGCAGCACAGUAAGAGCUUGCUCUUACGGGUGGCGAGUGGCGGACGGGUGAGGAAUACAUCGGAAUCUACUCUUUCGUGGGGGAUAACGUAGGGAAACUUACGCUAAUACCGCAUACGACCUACGGGUGAAAGCAGGGGAUCUUCGGACCUUGCGCGAUUGAAUGAGCCGAUGUCGGAUUAGCUAGUUGGCGGGGUAACGGCCCACCAUGGCGGUGAUCGGUAGCUGGUCUGAGUGGGUGGUGCGCCACAGUGGAGCUGAGAGACGGCACAGGGUCCUACGGGAGGCAGCGGUGGGGAAUAGUGGACAGAGGGCGGAAGCCUGAUCCAGCCAUGCCGCGUGGGUGAAGAAGGCCUUCGUGUGGUAAAGCCGUUUUGUUGGGAAAGAAAGGCAGCAGGUUAAUACCCCGCUGUUCUGACGGUACCGAAAGAAUAAGCACCGGCUAACUUCGU